UGGCUCAGGACGAACGCUGGCGGCAUGCCUAACACAUGCAAGUCGAACGGAGUUAUUUGGAUUCGUCUGGAUAACUUAGUGGCGGACGGGUGAGUAACACGUGAGCAACCUGCCCUUCAGAGGGGGACAACAGUUGGAGACGACUGCUAAUACCGCAUAACAUAUACUUAAGGCAUCUUGAGUAUAUCAAAGAUUUAUCGCUGAGGGAUGGGCUCGCGUCUGAUUAGAUAGUUGGUGAGGUAACGGCCCACCAAGUCUACGAUCAGUAGCCGGACUGAGAGGUUGAACGGCCACAUUGGGACUGAGAUACGGCCCAGACUCCUACGGGAGGCAGCAGUGGGGAAUAUUGGUCAAUGGGGGGCCAACCCUGAACCAGCAAUGCCGCGUGAAGGAAGAAGGCCUUCGGGUUGUAAACUUCUUUGACCAGGGACGAUAAUGACGGUACCUGGAAAACAAGCCACGGCUAACUACGUGCCAGCCGCUGC
rnacentral:rRNA from 1 species